ensembl:lncRNA
UUUAACUGUGAUGAAUUAAAUAAAGUAUAAUUGUUUCAUUAGGUAAUUAUUGUUAUGAAAAAGUGACUGCAAUUCAGCAUUCAUGCAUAAGGUUCCCAUUUAUUUGACUGAUUUUGCCUGUCUGUUAAAUGUUUUUUGUAGUUGUUUUUGCUGCUGCUGCUGCUGCUGCUGCUGCUGUUGUUGUUGACGACCAGACACACUGAUGUUUUUAGCACCUCGACAGACUAAACUAUAGUGUUGUUUAAAGAAGGUAAUAAAUUAACCUUAUGAAUACUAAGAAAAGAAAUCAUAAAUUUCACUAUUACAGCAGACACUUAAAUACGAAGACUGUAUUUUUAAGUGGAGGUGCUUGCUGGAAACAAGCUCUGCUAGACAAUGAAUGAAUCUAACUUCAGUAACAGUUUUUAAUGCAGAUGAACUAAAACAUCACCCUGAAAAAAAUAUGCUGUUUGUUUGGGCUUUGUUCUGUUGUCUUGCAUGUAAGUAUCCAAUUUCAACCCUGUUUUGGCCACUUAUUUAUAUGUCUUUGUAGUCAAAAUAUAGUCAAAUGUUCAUAAUCUCAUCUGCAGGUGUCAGUUUUGGGAAUGUCAUCACACCAGUCCAAACAGAGGUGUUUGGGACAGAGGGGGUCAAUAUAACUCUGUCCUAUAACUACUCCUCAGCAGUUAGUCUGCAGUGGUAUCGCCAAUAUCACGGUUCAGCCCCUGAAUACCUUUUAGUCAUAUUCCAUGCUACAGGGAAAGUUUCACAAAAGUCCAAAUUUGUAGAACUAGAUCCUCGAUUCUCUGUACAACUGAACGCAAAGAAAACCCAUGUGGAUCUGGAGGAAUAAAACAGAAGGAGGUGUAAAUAAACCACACCCACACUGCAGUUUCACAACAAGAUACUACAACCAUACAUUUACCUUUACUUCAUUUCAUAAAGCAAGUUUGUAAACCUUCCCAACAUGGAGAAAUGCUUUCUUCUGAUUCUAAUAUCCACUCCAGGUAUUUUAUCUGACAGCAUCCAACCAAAAGACGAGGAAACUAAUAUUUAUAGAAAAGAAGAAGAGCAUGUAACACUGAGCUGCACUUAUGAUACAAGCAGCAGUGAUGUCGAUCUGUACUGGUACAGACAAUAUCCGAACAGAGAACCAGAAUUUUUACUGUGGAAAGGUGCCCGUUUACGGAGCAGUUAUGAAUAUAUACCAGAUACUCAGUUUCAGAUGACUACAUCACAAACAUCCACUGAACUCUCUAUUAAGAGUGUAACUCUGGCAGAUUCGGCUCUCUAUUAUUGUGCUCUAAGAUUAGCAGCCCAGUGAUACAAAAUGCCUGAGAAGCUUUACAAAAACUCACAUUUAGUUUUUGCCUUAAAAAAAAAAUCAAAUAAAAAUGUAACCACAAUCAUAUCUUGUGUAAAGCCACAACACUUCUUUCACAAUAUGAUAUUUGUAACAUCUGCUGGAAGAAAAGGAAAUGUGUGCUUAGGGGGAAAAUAUACAAGAAGAUGAUAAUUCAUUGUUUUUGUUAUUCCUUAAUAAACCUUCCUACAAAAGAACUUCUAAAAAUCUAGUUUUCCAUGGGAAAAAAAACUUUUUUAGGUCAGCACAUACUGUAGGUCUACACCGACUAAAAUUAAGAGAGCAAAAUACAGAACAUCAAACGUUUCCAUGACUGUAAUCUCAGGCUAUUAGUGGUACUACAGUAAAAUUUCUGACCUGUAUGUUCAUA